GACAGAGGUGCCGAGCGUUAGGCGGAAUCACUGGGCUUAAAGCGUGUGUAGGCGGAUGGGUAAGUACCUUGUGAAAUCCCACGGCUCAACCGUGGAACUGCUCGGUAUACUGCUCGUCUUGAGCCAACUAGGGGCGACCGGAACAAACGGUGGAGCGGUGAAAUGCGUAGAUACCGUUUGGAACGCCGAUGGUGAAAACAGGUCGCUGGGGUUGUGCUGGACGCUGAGACACGAAAGCCAGGGGAGCGAACGGG
rnacentral:rRNA from 1 species